ACUUAACAUGAUAUCAUAAUAUAUUUGAAUGUAUAUAACGUGAUAUAAUCUAUAGCCGAGCAUAAACAUCACAAUAUUAUUUACUAUAUAUAAUAUAUAUAUAUAUAUCUAAACGUAUACACUCAUAUAGCUGCGGUAUUAUACAUUCGUAUAUCCAUGUAUUAGCGUCGCAGUCAUCAUGCAGUGUUCAAAAACUAUUAUGUGGUGUUUCGUUUUUAUAGUUGUUCUGUUCGUUCUAACAUUUGUGAUUUGUUUAAAAUAUUCCGACCAUAUUGAAUUCUCCAUUUAACCCUUUUUAAUGUUGAAAACGUGUAUAAAUUUGACGAAAAAACCAAAAUAUUUUUCUCGGCUGAACGUACCAACGCGUCAUGUAUAAUUGAUAUUAUAACUGCGUCCAGUAUAAUUACAAUUAAAUAUAAUUAUACUAAACUAUUUCUAAAAUAUUUACCCAUCAAAUAUCGCAAACGGAUUGAUGAUGGAAUUUCAUUUUAAGAAUAGCAUAUUCUUGCAUGAUCACGGACAAUGAAAAAAAACUAUGUUAUCCAGUCAGUAUAACAUUAUACAUCACCAUUGCACGAUGGUCAUCACCUGCGACCGAAUUGAAAAUCUGCAAGAACCGAUGCCGUAUUUAUAAUAUAUUACGACAUUAUAUAAACCAUGAAAAGAAUAUAAUUAUCUUAGUUUGUGAUACAAAUAUAGUAUAACUAAUAUAAUAUAAUAUGACUUUGAUAGACAAUAGACAUUCAUAUAUGGUAUCGUCGAUGACGGGAUGGGAUCGAAGGUGAUGUACCUAGCAGCUAUAAACUUGUGGAGCAACGUGGUCCGACUGGUCCGUGGAUCCGUAUCCAACAUUUAUGCAUCGCCAAAUUUGAUCACGAUAUAGCUAGACGAUUAGCCGAACAACCAUCAAUAAUGUACCUAGUGUAUAAUAUACGAUCAUAAUUACAAUCAGUAACAGAUAUAUGAGAAUUUAAGCCUCUAUUAUUUUAAUAAAUGCCUUAAAUACCUAUACAUAAUAUUAAUUUAUAUUUUAUAUUAACCUAUUCUCUUUUAACAUUAAAAUAUACUUUUACCUA